UUACUAAACUUAAUCAUGUUCGGAAUGUUGUAAGAGUGCGGAAAAAAAGCACAAAGCAAUCCGCCUGGGAAACAAUAUAACACUCCUAUUAAAAAUAUUUGGCUGUAGUGGAAAGAAAAGCCCGUGAUAUACCUGUACAGCUGCACUACUAUUGGAGGGCUGGAAAUAUAUAAAGUAUCGAUAAGAUGAUAGCGGAAACUUAAUUCCUGAAACAGGAAAGUUCAGAUGCUGGUAAUACAGUAUUCAGUUAGCUUUUUUUUUGUCUGACCGCAAAUGUAGUGACAAACCUGUAAAUGCUAGUGCUUCAAUUUUUUUCUUAUUCAUUUCCAAGAUCGUUGUCUCUAUCUACGUUGCUCUGUAUUGCCAUUUUUUUUAAUACGUUUUCUAUCACGUGUACCGUUUUCAAUACCGAUAAAACGCGUUUAUAUGCGAAGCCAUAUUUUUUAAAUUAAGAUUAUUAUUAUUUUUUACAUACGUUUGAUGUUUUACGCGGUGUACUGAUGUGCCGUGUAUAAAUAUAUAUGUAUUCGCUUAUCAGCGUCUACAGAGUAAAUGAUAGAAUGGACAUGGCAUCUACUCACCAUAAGCUUCGAAAAAAACGUGCUAAAGAAAGUCUUGAUAAUCCCGGUGCUCGAAAAAAAUCUACAAAAUCGUUAAAAUUGUCGCUGAAAGUGUCAACUGUAAAUUGUCCGAAGCGAUUAUUUUCCAAUUUACUUUCAAUAGUGCGUUUGGUGCUUUAUUGCUUUUUAAACAAUGAGAGAGAACUUAACACACUCACAUAAUAUCAAAUGUGGUGCCCUGAGUUUUAAAAAAGUGUCAACCGAUAGAUAACAAAAUGGAAUUAAAAAUAGAUUUUUCUUGAAAAGCGCUCGAAUUUCUAGUCGUAAAAUCGCUUAUAUUUGCCGGGAAAUUGUUUUCUUAAAGAUAUUUCUCCUAUGUCAAUAAUUUAAAAAUAAAAAAUGGAGUGCUGGCAAUGCUGAAAGUAAAUUGUCUUCAAAAAAAGAAAUAAGUAUAGAAAAAACUAAAGGAAUCAAUAAAUUUCGAGUACUAAUCUGGAUAAAAAUAAAUAAAGCCUGUAAAGGUAUACAUAUAUAUUUGGAAGAAAAAAUCCAAAUGAUUAAAUUGCAACGAAUAAGUUCGUUUCGAAAAGCUGUGAAUUGGGCUUCUACCGUUAAACGAGAUGCCGCAGAUAUCCUUG